ensembl:misc_RNA RNase_MRP RNase MRP
AGGCAUUCUGGAGACCUGUCUACUAGGCUACAAGCUGGGAACCCAGUUUCUCCUCCGUGCGCCUAGGGGAAAGUCCCCGGACCCGUGGCAGAGAGUGCCUUUGCGUGAAGCAGCCUGCGGUCUGCACGUCACCACGCCUCAGCUAAGACGUCCUCGGACCGAGCUGGGUGACGUCAGGCUGCACUCGUCAUAGCGGUGUAGUAACGCAGGUGGUGUGUACUUCCAGUGCAUCAACAGAACGGGGCUCAUUCCCAGAAUGCC